GAACUGGUGCUCAGCUCCCAGCCUCCUCAAACAGCUUCCACUCAGACCUGACACGCCCUCCUCUCAACGCUCCACUACCUUACUGGAAUCCAACGCUGCCAGAACCGCCCUCCGACGUCUCCCCAGCCUCGUCAAACUCAAUAAAUAUAUUAUUUUUA